rnacentral:rRNA from 1 species
GAUGAACGCUGGCGGCGUGCCUAAUACAUGCAAGUCGAGCGAACAGACGAGGAGCUUGCUCCUCUGACGUUAGCGGCGGAAGGGUGAGUAACACGUGGAUAACCUACCUAUAAGACUGGGAUAACUUCGGGAAACCGGAGCUAAUACCGGAUAAUAUAUUGAACCGCAUGGUUCAAUAGUGAAAGACGGUUUUGCUGUCACUUAUAGAUGGAUCCGCGCCGCAUUAGCUAGUUGGUAAGGUAACGGCUUACCAAGGCAACGAUGCGUAGCCGACCUGAGAGGGUGAUCGGCCACACCGGAACUGAGACACGGUCCAGACUCCUACGGGAGGCAGCAGUAGGGAAUCUUCCGCAAUGGGCGAAAGCCUGACGGAGCAACGCCGCGUGAGUGAUGAAGGUCUUCGGAUCGUAAAACUCUGUUAUUAGGGAAGAACAAAUGUGUAAGUAACUAUGCACGUCUUGACGGUACCUAAUCAGAAAGCCACGGCUAACUACGUG